rnacentral:lncRNA from 1 species
UGCACUUCAUUGUUGCCGAUGUCAUUUUUCGAAGUGACUUUCUAUGGCCAGUCCUUCCUUGUCUUUUCCCGAUCCAUGAAGUGUGUACUCGGCAUGUCACAACUUCAUGCACACAUUCCUUCCUUCUAUUUGGAGGUAUAGGCUCUCACUCGAUGCCAUUCUGACUUUUCUUUACAACAUUUCUCAUCAUCUUCCUUCUUAUAUCUCCAUUG